rnacentral:misc_RNA from 1 species
GAUGAAGAACGUAGCGAAAUGCGAUACUUGGUGUGAAUUGCAGAAUCCCGUGAACCAUCGAGUCUUUGAACGCAAGUUGCGCCCGAAGCCAUUAGGCCGAGGGCACGCCUGCCUGGGCGUCACACGUCGUUGCUCCCCCAUCUACUCCUUCGGGAUUGCGGGGGGCGGAUGAUGGCCUCCCGUGCGCCUCGUCGCGCGGUUGGCAUAAAUGCCAAGUCCUCGGCGACGCACGCCACGACAAUCGGUGGUUGCGAAACCUCGGUUGCCCGUCGUGUGCGGUCGUCGCGCAUCGAGGGCUCGAAAAAAGUGUCGGGCUCCGGCUCGGCUUUCAACGCGACCCCAGGUCAGGCGGGGUUACCCGCUGAAUUUAAGCAUAUCAAUAAGGGGAGGA